rnacentral:lncRNA from 1 species
GGUACGAGGCCCGUUCAUGCUGCGGUUACAUCGCGACUGAUCCUGAUCGUGCAUCACGCCUGCCUUCUUAAAACUAGUUUCGGACAAUCGCCGUAUAGGAAAAUUGUCGAUGGAAGGAUUACGCAAUGGCUACCUUACACUUGCUUCUUCAAUUGCUAACCCUUGAACGUAACUCAGCCGGCGUUUGGACUGUAACGAGAGGAACGUUCCUAUGUAUUACAUACGAUAACGAUCCUACUGACUUUACAUCGACGAUCUUUCUAUGUACUUCAUGAGAUAUCUAACUCCUAUGAAUAUAUUAUCACUUCUUCUUGUAA